rnacentral:lncRNA from 1 species
CCCCCUCCUUCCAUUGAGAGAACCCCUGUAAAAUCUAUAAAGAAAGGUGGAUCAAGGAUUCUAUAGGCGUUUUCAUAUAUGAAUUCCAAAUAAAAUGGAUAGAAACAUCUAGGUGCUCCUAAUACAUCCAUCUUUUAAUAGGACAUAAGAACUCAAAUAGUUUUCAGCCUUACCAAACCGCAAAAAUAAUAUGUAAAGAACGUACAACCUGAUACUGCGAUCUUGCUUCCAAUAAUACCUUUCCCCGAAGACAUCGACCAUCUGAGCGCAAGAUACUAAACAAAUAUGGCGUAGCGCAUGCCAUCACGUACCAUGAGUUCAUCCAUGUCCGGGACUGUGACAUGCUCGACCCCGCCAUCGGUCCGACCCAUGAUGCAGGAGACGAGCUCGAGCGGUUUCCGCACAAUAUCCAGCACGGCUGAAAGCCAAUACCGAUCCCCAUGGCCAUGGCCAUGCUCGACUCUCGAGAGAGAGCGCUCAUCGGCGACGCGGGCACUCCAUUUCCGCCCAAGCAGGCUUUGGCUUACGGCGGACAGGAAUCGGCGCAUGGUGCCAGGGUUGGAGGGACUGGGGGUGACAGUUCCGAUUGAGGAGGCCUCCUCACCACUCUUUUUUUAUGUUUUUCUUUUCCUCGUGGGUUGGUGAAUGGUGAUGGCAUAGUGGAGG